rnacentral:rRNA from 1 species
GACGAACGCUGGCGGCGUGCCUAAUACAUGCAAGUUGAGCGAUGAAGAUUGGUGCUUGCACCAAUUUGAAGAGCAGCGAACGGGUGAGUAACGCGUGGGGAAUCUGCCUUUGAGCGGGGGACAACAUUUGGAAACGAAUGCUAAUACCGCAUAACAACUUUAAACAUAAGUUUUAAGUUUGAAAGAUGCAAUUGCAUCACUCAAAGAUGAUCCCGCGUUGUAUUAGCUAGUUGGUGAGGUAAAGGCUCACCAAGGCGAUGAUACAUAGCCGACCUGAGAGGGUGAUUGGCCCAAUUGGGACUGGGAAAAGGGCCCAACCCCCGAGGGGGGCCAGCAGAGGGAAUCCUCGGGCAUUGGAGGAAAUUCGGCCCAGGCAAGCCGGCUGAGUGAAAGAGGUUUUCGGAUCGUAAAACUCUGUUGGUAGAGAAGAACGUUGGUGAGAGUGGAAAGCUCAUCAAGUGACGGUAACUACCCAGAAAGGGACGGCUAACUACGU